UGCAAGUCGAACGGACUUAACCAUUAGUUUACUAUUGGAGCGGUUAGUGGCGGACUGGUGAGUAACACGUAAGCAACCUGCCUAUCAGAGGGGAACAACAGUUAGAAAUGACUGCUAAUACCGCAUAUACCCAAGUGUCACAUGGCACAAUGGGGAAAGGAGCAAUCCGCUGAUAGAUGGGCUUGCGUCUGAUUAGCUAGUUGGUGGGGUAACGGCCUACCAAGGCGACGAUCAGUAGCCGGACUGAGAGGUUGAACGGCCACAUUGGGACUGAGAUACGGCCCAGACUCCUACGGGAGGCAGCAGUCGGGAAUAUUGCGCAAUGGAGGAAACUCUGACGCAGUGACGCCGCGUGCAGGAAGAAGGUUUUCGGAUUGUAAACUGCUUUAGACAGGGAAGAAACAAGACAGUACCUGUAGAAUAAGCUCCGGCUAACUACGUGCCAGCAGCCGCGGUAAUACGUAGGGAGCGAGCGUUAUCCGGAUUUAUUGGGUGUAAAGGGUGCGUAGACGGGAAAAUAAGUUAGUUGUGAAAGCCCUCGGCUUAACUGAGGAACUGCAACUAAAACUGUUUUUCUUGAGUACUGGAGAGGAAAGUGGAAUUCCUAGUGUAGCGGUGAAAUGCGUAGAUAUUAGGAGGAACACCAGUGGCGAAGGCGACUUUCUGGACAGAAACUGACGUUGAGGCACGAAAGUGUGGGGAGCAAACAGG
rnacentral:rRNA from 1 species